rnacentral:rRNA from 1 species
UCCGAUUUAGCCAUGUUAGUCCACCGAGCUUUGCUCGGGGCGGAUAGCUGAGUAACACGUGACUAACCUGCCCUAUGGAUGGAGAUAACCUCGCUAACGUGAGGCUAAUUUCCAAUAGCAGAUGAUUGCUGGAAAGCUUCGUCUGUGAAAUGUUCCGACGCCAUAGGAUGGAGUCGCGGCUGAUUAGGUCGUUGGUGAGGUAACGGCUCACCAAGCCAGUAAUCAGUAACAGCCGUGAGAGCGGGAGCUGUCAGUUGGCUUCUGAGACAAGAAGCCAGACCCUACGGGGUGCAGCAGGCACGAAACCUUCACAAUGCACGAGAGUGCGAUGGGGGGACUCCGAGUGUAAUCUUCCCACAAGGAAGGUUACUUUUCUGCACUGUAAGGAGGUGCCGGAACAAGGGGUGGGCAACACUGCUGCCAGCCGCCGCGGUAAUAGCAGGACCCCAAGUGGUAGUCGUUAUUAUUGGGCUUAAAGUGUUCGUAGCCUGCCAUGCAAGUCCGCUGUGAAAUCCACGCGCUCAACGUGUGGGCGUGCAGCGGAUACUGCAUGGCUAGGGACCGGACGGCGUUGAGGCUAUUCCCGGAGUAGGAGUGAAAUCCUAAAAUUCUGGGAGGAGCACCUGUGGCGAAAGCGCUCAACGAGUACGGAUCCGACGGUGAGGAACGAAAGCCAGGGGAGCAAAGCGGAUUAGAUACCCGCGUAGUCCUGGCCGUUAACAAUGUGCGUUUGAUGUCGGACAACCUCCGAGGUUGUCCGGUGCCGAAGUGAAAACGUUAAACGCACCGCCUGGGAAGUACGGUCGCAAGGCUGAAACUUAAAGGAAUUGACGGGGGAGCACCACAACCGGUGGGGGCUGCGGUUUAAUUAGAUCCAACGCAGAGUACCCUACCAGAGCCGACAGCAGGAUGACGGUCAGCUUGAAGAGCUUACCUGACGCGCUGAGAGGAGCUGCAUGGCCGCCGUCAGCUCGUGCUGUGAAGUGUCCGGUUAAGUCCGGUAACGAGCGAGACCCGCAUCACAUGUUGCCAUGGAUCCCUUCGGGGAUUCGGCACUCGUGUGAGACCGCUGGCGAUAAGCCAGGGGAAGGAGCGGGCCACGGUAGGUCAGUAUGGCCCGAAUGCUCUGGGAUACACGCGGCC